AUACGUAGGGUGCGAGCGUUAAUCGGAAUUACUGGGCGUAAAGCGUGCGCAGGCGGCUUUGCAAGACAGAGGUGAAAUCCCCGGGCUCAACCUGGGAACUGCCUUUGUGACUGCAAGGCUAGAGUACGGCAGAGGGGGAUGGAAUUCCGCGUGUAGCAGUGAAAUGCGUAGAUAUGCGGAGGAACACCAAUGGCGAAGGCAAUCCCCUGGGCCUGUACUGACGCUCAUGCACGAAAGCGUGGGGAGCAAACAGGAUUAGAAACCCUAGUAGUCC
rnacentral:rRNA from 1 species